GCCUCCCUAUUUAGUGCACAUGGCUUCGUCCAAUUCCUAGAAUGCCAUGUGCUAAUGUUACAGAAAAUGCCAGAGGGUAUCUUCAUGCAUAUUCCUCUAGAGCUUCGCAGCCAAACCCUGGAGUACUUUAAGGAGUUCUUCUCUUGAUGUGUGACCUGCCCUGUCUAUCACCAGUGGGUAUCUGAGCUUAAGGCCUCUGUAAUGAGAUGUGAAAAGAGAGAAUUCAUGUCCCUAACUAACAGCAUCAGACCUUUUGACACCUGCUUGACCAGGAUUUGGAUAAAAGGAGAAUUUCUGCAGGAAAAUAACUCUUGGAAAAGAAACUUAGGAAUUCAGAGAUUUGACAGAGUGGCUGAUGUCAAGGAGAACAAGGAUGCAGAAGAAACUCAAGAUAUGGAGUUAAAAUAUCCUCUUGUCCUAAAAAUAGGACAAAAGACUGUCAAUGUGAAGAUUAAAUGACUAUAAAGCACCGGGCAUAUAGGUAACCAUUUCCACCUGCAGCAGGCCCCCACCCAGGUCUGUGAGAAACGUACGCCUGCCCGCUGGAGCUCUGCGAUCCACAGCUGAGGACACCAGGGGCUGGCACCCUUCUGGCAAGAACCGGCA